CGAGUAAGCCGAACGACCGCGGGCAUAAGGCGAAAGCCUGUGCGUGAGGAAAGUCCGGGCUCCAUAGGGCAAGGAUAACGGGUAACGCCCGCCGAAGGCAACUUCAGGAAAAGUGCAACAGAGAUAUACCGCCAUGUCGUAUUCCCCCAUAUCUCCCAACAAAACGUUAGUUUUGAUGGGAAAAGGAGGAGCAGCGAAAUGAACAAGCUUUCGCGCUUGCGCGGAAGCGAGUGAUAUGCAGCUUGCGACGACGCGGCAAGGGUGGAAAGGCGAGGUAAGAGCUCACCCGACGGCUGGGAACAGUCCGUCGCUGUAAACUCUAUCCGGAGCAACACCGUGGGAGGACAAUAGGCUUGCCCGGCCGUCCUCGGGAGGUGGCUAGAGCGUAUCGGCAACGCUGCGCUUAGAUAGAUGGUCGUUUAAGACAGAACCCGGCUUAUAGACUUACUCGCAAA
rnacentral:RNase_P_RNA from 1 species